GCCGGGGUGGCGGAACUGGCAGACGCAACGGACUUAAAAUCCGUUGGAGCGAGGGCUUCGUGUGGGUUCGAUUCCCAUCCCCGGCACCA
rnacentral:tRNA from 2 species